UGGUCUAUAUGGGAAGUAGAGAUGGUCAUGACCCAAAUGAUGCUUUGGGUAAUGAUGAAAGUUAUGUCAAACACUCAAAUGAACAGACAUAAAUUGAGUGACAAGCAUAGUGUGUACUGAUUUUAGCAUUACCUAAUUAAGGAUGGUGAUUGUGGUGUAACUGUAUCCUUUCAAAACCACGAUGUACAACAGCCAGUGCAGCAAAAAAACAAACACUGCAAUCGGCUGCUUGGACACGUCAAGAGGAGGAAAGCUUCUUCAUUGCAUUGCAGCAAGUUGGCAAGGCAUUUUUUGCUAUCAUGGUUUUUGGUUUUUGGAAUUAUUUCUUAUGAUAUAUCCUAACAUGACUAUAUGAUGUCUUUUAACAGAAUUUCGACUUUGUCUUGAUGACAAAAAAUUCUAAAGAUACUAAUGCUACAAUGCUUCGAUGGUAACCAGAAACUAUGCCCUCUACGUAAUGUCUAUUUUAUAUAUUUUGGUAACUCUGCAAAUUUCUCUUAAACUAGCAACAUGUAUGUGCACUUAUGUUCCUUUUUGAUUAUAUUUCUAAGGAGAUGUAGUGAUGUUGAAUGAACUUAUGUAGGGGUUAUUCUGUUGAAUGAAGCCCUCAUCUAAUUGAGUAGGUUUCAUCUUCAACUACCUAGGUGGGAUGUACUUUAAGAUGACCAUUAAAGACUCUGAAUAAGAGUUGUAGAGUGUUCCAAGUAAUACUGGAAGUUAUUUUUGUUAUAAAUAAAUAUACCUUGUAAAAUGUAUGGAGAUUGUAUUGUGUUUCUUUGAUUGUGGAAUUUCACUUUGUUAUGAUUGUGGAAUUUCACUUCAUUAUUUUUGUACUAUGUGAAUUCUUUUGAGAAUGCAGCCAGCUCCAUAGAAACAAGUGUUGUUGCUGCUGAGAAUGUAGCACGACUCAUCCUAUCGAGAUCCUCUAGUCAAGUCAAAUCAAGUUCAUCAAACUUGAAGAGCUCUAGCCCUGAUGCAGACGAUUUGCAUUCAGAUUUGUAAGUUAAAUUUGCAAUCACGAUCCUAUUCAAUCCAAUGUAUAAGCCUUGGUUUGUUUUG